rnacentral:rRNA from 1 species
GACGAACCGAGCGAACGUUGUUCGGAAUCACUGGGCUUAAAGGGCGCGUAGGCGGGUGCUCAAGUCUGUGGUGAAAUCCUCCGGCUCAACCGGAGAACUGCCAUGGAUACUGGGCGUCUCGAGUGUGGUAGGGGUAUGCGGAACUAUCGGUGGAGCGGCGAAAUGCGUUGAUAUCGAUAGGAACUCCGGUGGCGAAGGCGGCAUACUGGACCACCACUGACGCUGAUGCGCGAAAGCCAGGGGAGCAAACGGG